UGAGACAAGGCAGUAAAGUGGUGUCAAGAUACACUAAAUCUACAGUGUAGAUGUACCCUAAGAGUGGGUGAAAAUCUCACUUCUGGAGAAAGGACGGGACACAGGAACAAUUUCCACCUGCAAUUCUUCUGUGAAUAAACUGCCCAGAAAGGAACUGCAAUCGCUUUCAAAGCACAGUCUCUAGACGUGUCUCUACAAUUGAGCCACAUGGCAGGCACUGGAAAUGUGUGCAGAAAUGUGCAGCCUUACUGGCUUGUUGCAAGUCUGGAAACCUGUUUUUUCCUUAUCUGGCUUGGCCCUUUCUUAAGAGGCACUUACCUUGAACCACAUGAAUUAGACAGGGCUAAAAACCAGAGAGCAUUCUCUCCAUAACAAGGCACCUUUGGCCUCCCAAAGACAGAAGAGUUCAGGGAUGUUUCUCCUACAACCUUAAGUGGAUGUAAUAAAAGAUUAGUGUCAAAUUGCAUGGAUAUCCCAUCUUCUGUUAAUGAUCAGCAAUGUCUUUCUUUUCAAAGCAAGAGCUGGAAGAGACUACAAGAGUUGGACGGUGGUGCCUCAUCUAGAAGAAAAAGAAAAAAGGGAUUCCUUUCGAAGGUGCAUCUACACUGGAGAAUGAAUGCAGUUUGACACCACUUGAACUGCCACGUCUCAAUGCUAUGGAAUCAUGGGAGAUGUAGUUUUAGAAGGUCUUUAGCCUUCUCUGAGAAAGGGUCACUGCCAAGUACUCUGUGGGUCAAGAAGGACAAGGUCAAAUUUACCCCUGUGGGAUAUCAUCCUGGACUACACAAGUCUCUAUUAGUUAUGUAGUGGAUAGGUUAGAAUGAGGGAAACCUCUCUCUCUAUUCCAAGCAUGCCUAGAUAGGUCUUUGCUGGUUUCUCUCUUCCUUCCUCUUUACAUCCACGCCUCACAUUGUUGAUAUAGUAAUGUGAACCUCUUUAGGGAUGAGGUAACUUCUUCUAUUUAGAUUGGAAUGUUAAUUGCCCCAAAAGGCUCGGACCAUGCGGUCAGCAGCCAUAUCUCUUCCUCCUUUGUCUUCUAUCUAAGAAGGACACAUUUUGCCCACUCUCCUGGCAAAAUGUAGCUAUUUAGAUAUUUUUGUUAUUUUUCACCUUCUUACCAUCCUUAGAUGCUAGCUUAGAGAACUAGUUAGCUCCAAAACCUUUUCUAGCCACAAUGGAUUUCUUUUUACCUCAAUAAAUGCUUUUUGAACUUUUAAGGAGACUUCACAAUCUUUUGCCAUCCUAAGAACAAAGGCUUCUCCAACCUCACCACACAUAAGUUUCUGCUGCUUGUAAAGUGUGCUUCUGCCACUCUGCUGUAUUUUUGAGGAAUCACCCCCGAAAGAGGGUUAUUUUUUUGAGUCUAACCGCUCAUAGAUUCCCAACAACCCUGAAAACAGAUCUUUGUGGGGUUCACACAUGAAAAUCACCCUCACCUCAAGGAUAACAAUAAAUAAAUGAUCAUGUUAAUUAUUGUUACUGGGCCUCUCUUCAGGGCUGGGAUACAACAUAAUUAAAACACAUAGGUAAAACAGAAGGCCGUUAAAUUACAUCUAUUAAAAGACAUAAAGAUUAAACGCAUUCAAACUAUAGGAGGACUCUGUGCCAUUUGUUUGAGCCUCCUUGAGCCUGGUUUUAGGGGACAGGCGGGGUAUAAAUAAGGAUAACAACAAUAGCACGAACAACUUGAUAAACAGAAUAAUCUACUGCUAUCUUUCCUUUUGGGUUGUUGUGAGUUUUCCGGGCUGUAUGGUCAUGUUCCAGAAGCAUUCUCUCCUGACCUUUCACCCACAUCACCCACCUUUCACAAUCUUAAAGGUUGUGAGGCCUGUUGGAAACCAGGCAACUGGGGUUUAUAUCUGUGGAAUGUCCAGAGUGGGAGAAAGAACUCUUGUCUGCUUGAGGCAAGUGUGAAUGUUGCAAUUGGCCAACUUGAUUAGCAUUGAAUGGCCUUGCAGCUUCAAAGCCUCACUUUUUUCUGUCUGGGGGGAAUCCUUUGUUGGGAGGUGUUAGCUGGCCCUGAUUGUUUCAUGUCUGGAAUUCCUUAGUUUUCUGAGUGGUGUUUUUUAUUUACCACUCAGAAAACAGAGGAACUAUUUAUCUUUCCUUUUCCAUUGCUCUUUUUUCCUCCUCCUCUCCUUUCUCCUUCUACUUGCAAGAGGCUUCCUUGGAGUCUGAUUUACACCCCUUUCCGCAUAUGGCCUAUGGGUGGAGUGCCGGGAAUUCACUGUGAAAUUUCCCAAGAGUCCAGUCCUCUCCCCUCACACUCCAAAGGUCAUAAACAGAGAAGGCAGUGGGCCUGGGAGCCUUUGAAAUUAUUUCACCCAUAGGAUACUUCUGUUCUCCAGACAGAAGUCGCAUUUCAUUCCACCCCAACUGCAGGACUACAGCCUUUGCCGCUUGCUUCCCACACAGGACAAAGAACAUCCAGAAGAAAAGAAGUUGAGCAGCAGGAGAUUACAUACCCAAAAGACACCAGAGCAAUUGCUUUGCAAUUCCAUCAUGACAGAGAUGUAGUACCAAGGUGAGAAGUUUUGCAGAUUUCUCCUAGAUUCUUGGACUUCUGGCACCUCUUCUGAUUCUCUUCUGGCUUCUUCUCCAUACCCUCCAACAAUUUCAAUUUGACAGGGACAGCCCAAAAUAAACAUCUACUGUCUCACUUUUUGAGCUGCUUAUAUGUCCCAGUUCCUCCAGUCCUCCCACUUUCUACCUUUAUCCCUGUCUUACUUUCAUUGCUGUAAAUAGUUUUCACAAUGCAAACGUAGUCAUAACGAACCCUCUGAUUAUUUCCAAGUGUAUGAAAAGGAGAAACUUCUUCAUGGUCACAUCUCUCUUUACAAUUGUCUUUGUAAUGGUUAAUCUGAUAAUUUUUUUUGCAGCCCAUCCCCUUCCAGAACCAAACCACAACCUGAUAUUUAAACAUAAUCAGUCUUUUCUGAUUCAAGUCAAUAGUAAAAGAUCAAGUUUUCCCCACUUUACACACUAACUUUUCCCUUAUCUGUUUUGGUUUCAAGAACAAAACACAUUAAUGGUUUCUUCACAGAGAACCUCUCCAGAGGUCCUGAAAAAGUAUGAGGGUGGGUCAAUUUUUUUGCCUCCUGUGUAAUAAAAACAUUAUGAAUGAACAUAUAAGUUGCUACAGAUCAUAGUCUGAACUGUUCUCUACACAAAACUACCAUCCAACAUACUCAGCACCAAUUUGUACACAUUUGCACCAUCAUUUAACCCAGGCAUCAAAACAAUUUUGGAAAGAUUCAGGGGUUUGCUUUAUGACCCAUGAUUUUAAAGCUGUUUUAACGUUAUUCAAAUCAUUGAAUCUGAAACCAUGUAGGCUAUCUUUUUGGAUCUCUGAAAGAAUGGUAGUAUUGUGUAGAGGAUAGUUCAGGCUACGAUCUGUAGCAACUUCUGCUGCUAUAUGUUCAUUCAAGACAAACUCCAACUUUUAGCACAGCACCACACGUACGAUGUUAUAGGCAUCACUGAAACCUGGUGGGAUGGCUCCCAUCACUGGAAUGCGGCCAUUGAGGGCUAUAACCUCUUUCACAGAAAUAGAACAAAGGGGAGAGGAGGGAGAGUAGCUUUAUAUGUCAAAAACAGUUACGUUGCAGAAGAAAUGCAAGACUGUAAUCCGGGAAACCAGCUUGAAAGCAUCUGGAUAAGAAUCAAGGGAAUUGGGACUCAAAAAGAUCUCAUCGUGGGUGUCUACUACAGACCUCCGAGUCAGGAUGAAGGACUUGAAGAAGCCUUCUGUCAACAGCAGACCAAACAGGCACAAAGAAGAUAUAUAGUAGUCAUGGGCAAUUUCAACUAUCCUGAUAUCUGCUGGAAAACAAACUCGGCCAAAAGUACAAAGUCCAACAAAUUCCUCACUUGCCUUGCAGACAAUUUUAUGGUCCAGAAGGUAGAAGAGGCAACAAGGGGAUCUGCUACUCUUGAUCUAAUCUUAACAAAUGUGGAAGACCUGAUCAAUACAGUCGAAGUGGUCGGAUCCUUAGAAGCAAGUGACCAUGUGCUCCUGCAAUUUGAGAUACAAAGGAAGGCUGAAACUGAGACAAGUCAAACACGCAUUCUGGACUUUAAGAGAGCUGACUUCCAAAAAAUGAAGGAAAUAAUGAGCGGAAUUCCAUGGAUGCCAAUAUUAAAAGACAAGGGAGUUAAGGAUGGAUGGGUGAAAUAAAAAGUAAAAGUGAAAUACUCAAGGCGCAAAUGCAAACAGUGCCAACAAAGAAAAAAAAAGAUAAGUGCGAAGAAGCCAGAAUGGAUGUCCAAAGAACUUCUAACCAGGCUAAGACUCAAAAGAGACAUGCACAAGAAGUGGAAAAGGGGAGAAAUCAUCAAAGAAGAAUUCAAACGUAUAGCCAACUCCUGUAGAGAAAAGGUUCACAAGGCUAAAGUGCAAAAUGAGCUCAGGCUUGCCAGGGACAUUAAAAACAACAAAAAAGACUUUUUUGCUUACGUUGGUAGAAAAAGGAAGAACAAGGAGGCAAUAGGGCCUCUGCGAGGAGAAGAUGGGGUGAUGGUGACAAGAAACAGGGAGAAGGCAGAACUACUUAAUGCCUUCUUUGCCUCGGUCUUCUCAUAAAAAGAAAGCCAUCUUCAACCUCAGAAACAUGGAAUGGAUGAAGAAUUAGGGGAAAUCUAACCCCAAAUAGGGAAAAAAGUUGUCCAGGAACACCUGGCCUCUCUAAACGAAUUCAAGUCCCCAGGGCCAGAUCAGCUAUAUCCAAGAGUAUUUAAGGAACUAGCUGAGGUUAUUUUAGAACCACUGGCAAUUAUAUUUGAGAGUUCUUGGAGAACAGGAGAAGUCCCAGCAGAUUGGAGGAGGGCGAAUGUGGUCCCUAUCUUCUGUAAAAGAUCAUUAAGGAAGUGGUCUGCGAACAUUUAGAAACAAAUGCGGUCAUUGCUAACAGCCAACAUGGAUUUACCAAAAACAAGUCAUGCCAGACUAAUCUGAUCUCUUUUUUCUUCGAUAGAGUUAUGAGUUGGGCUGAUACAGGGUGUAGCAUACCUGGAUUUCAGUAAGGCUGUAACGGAAAGCCUUAUUUUAUUGGGGAUUUUUGUCUGUUAUUUAAUGUUGAUUCAGUGGUAAAGGUGGGCAGGAGUUAGCUACUGCUGAUUGGCUAUGUGUCACCAUGGUAACAUAGCUGCUUCUGUAGAAAUGUAACUAUUUCGAAGCUAGCACGAAAGGGGUGGAGCUAGCUGGAUGAAAAAGGAGGGAAUGUUUUAAAAAGAGUCAGUUAGUGAAGUUCUCUAGCCGGUGAGCUAGAAAGAAGAUGUCUGAAGUCAGUUAGGUUUAAGUUUUCCAGUGAGGUAGAGCUGAGGAAAAGGAAUACUGUUGAGACAAAGUUUCAGUCAAGUGGUUGAUGUUAAAGAAUGAAAGAUAUUAUCGAUAGUAUGUACAAAUGAAACUGAAGAAGUAAACCUUUGCAACAAGUUAUGGUUUUUGGACUAAAGAAACCAUAAAUAAAUAAUUCUUUGUUUUU